GUUAAGUGACGAAGCGUAUACGGUGGAUGCCUUGGCAGUUAGAGGCGAUGAAGGACGUGUAAGUCUGCGAAAAGCUGUGGUGAGCCGACAAAAUGCAUUUGAGCCACAGAUGUCCGAAUGGGGAAACCCACCUGUUUACAGGUAUCGUUAACUGAAUACAUAGGUUAACGAGGCAAACGAGGGGAACUGAAACAUCUAAGUACC
rnacentral:rRNA from 13 species